rnacentral:SRP_RNA from 1 species
GGGAGGUUGCCGGCGGACGCACCGCUCGCCAACCCGGUCAGGUCCGGAAGGAAGCAGCCGUAACGAAUCCGGUUCGGGUCGCCUGGCAACCUCCUGCU